UACGUAGGGGGCAAGCGUUGUCCGGAAUUAUUGGGCGUAAAGCGCGCGCAGGCGGCUCUUUAAGUCUGGUGUUUAAUCCCGAGGCUCAACUUCGGGUCGCACUGGAAACUGGGGAGCUUGAGUGCAGAAGAGGAGAGUGGAAUUCCACGUGUAGCGGUGAAAUGCGUAGAUAUGUGGAGGAACACCAGUGGCGAAGGCGACUCUCUGGGCUGUAACUGACGCUGAGGCGCGAAAGCGUGGGGAGCAAACAGG
rnacentral:rRNA from 2 species